CAGUCGCCGCGGGAAUACGUAGGGUGCAAGCGUUAAUCGGAAUUACUGGGCGUAAAGCGUGCGCAGGCGGUUCGGAAAGAAAGAUGUGAAAUCCCAGAGCUUAACUUUGGAACUGCAUUUUUAACUACCGGGCUAGAGUGUGUCAGAGGGGGGUGGAAUUCCACGUGUAGCAGUGAAAUGCGUAGAUAUGUGGAGGAACACCGAUGGCGAAGGCAGCCCCCUGGGAUAACACUGACGCUCAUGCACGAAAGCGUGGGGAGCAAACAGGAUUAGAUACCCCCGUAGUCCCUGUCUCUUAUAC
rnacentral:rRNA from 1 species